UACGGAGGGUGCGAGCGUUGUCCGGAAUCACUGGGCGUAAAGGGCGCGUAGGUGGCGCGGGAAGUCAACGGUGAAAGUUCGGGGCUCAACCCUGAAUCGGCCGUCGAUACUCCCGGGCUCGAGCACUGUAGAGGGCAGAGUGGAAUUCCGGGUGUAGCGGUGGAAUGCGUAGAGAUCCGGAAGAACACCGGUGGCGAAGGCGGUCUGCUGGGCGAG
rnacentral:rRNA from 1 species